UGAGGACUCAAGGCCUCCAAAUACGGGUCGCGCUAACCGCUGCGCCACCACGGCACGCCCCUGUUGCUGCAAUUCUGACAUUUUUUCAUGGUGUUUGUGCUGCAGCUUUACCCAGGGGCUUAGUGCUGCAGUUUGAGCAUGUUUUCUGUUCUUUUUUUGUGCUGCAGUUUUAACCUGUUUUCAUGGUUUUUGUGCUGCAGUUUUUUACCUGUUUCCAGGGUUUUUUGUGCUUUGCUUUGAGCAUGUUUUCUGUUCUUUUGUGCUGCGGUUUUGACCUGUUUCCAGGUUUUUGUGCUGCAGCUGUAACCUGGAGUUUGUGCCUCAGCAGGUGUGGAUCAGUGCGGCCCGGUUGCUGAUCCUGAUCCGGUUCUCCGGCCCGCCGCUCUCAGGCUGCAAGGCAAACAACUGUUACCUACAAAUCAUCCGUCUCUAUUGGAAACCGGUUUUUCUCCCCGCCUGCUGCUCCCUCCCCCUCCUCCUCUUUCUGCAGAGCACAUGUCUGGUUGCAGUUUGCUGCGGCUGGGUUGUGCUGCGCUGGAGGACGCCGGGCCGAACCGGGCCGGGUCGGGCCGGGUCGGUCAGUAGAACAUGUGUUGCUGUUGCUGGCCGGCAGCAGCAGCAGCAGCAUGUGCUCUUCAUGCCCCACACCGCCGACAGGUGUUGGCUUCAUGUGACUGCCUGCCUGUCCGGACAGCGCUCCAAUGGAGGAGGAGGAAGAGGAGGAGGAGGAGGAAGAGGAGGAGGAGGAGGAAGAGGCGGGGUGUGUAAAGUUUCAUCAACAACAACUGUGUCAACUGUGCAGCCGCUGGGUUGGGAAAGCAGCAGUGCAGGAUGCCUCUCCUCCUCUUCCUCCUCCUCUUCUUCCUCCUCUCCUCUCCUUCUCUCCUCCUCUCCUCCUCUUCCUCCUCCUCUUCUUUAACUCCCCUGGAUGAAUGGAUGAAUCCACCCUUUUGUGUGCGAUGGGCCGUUCCUCGGCAACAGCUCCAUGGUUACAGUCCAAUAAAUAACAUCACACUCGCUCCUCUGCCUCUCUGGAUCUCAGGAUGCGAAGGAAAAGUUUCUUUGCUUUUGUUUCCUGAAACUGUGAAGCAGAUUCAGAAUCCCAAACUGAGCGUCUGAUCGGCGUUUCUGCAGCUGCGCCGUUUGGUGACUGGGUGAACGCACGCAGAGCCGCAGUGAUGAGCUGAAAACAUGCAAAGCGGCUCAUUAGAAAACCCAAAUCAGCUCCGGCAGAGGAACAGGUUUGGAGUGGGACGCGCCGAAAGAGAAGAUCUUUGUUUUUCUGCUGCUUUUUGUUUCGUUUGUUUACUUUAUGAAAAUAUAAAGAGCGGUUCUGCUGACAUGACAACCAGAUGUGAAGCAGAAUCUGAAAAGUCUUUUCAUAUAGACUGUCAGUCGGUUUCAGGCCUGGACUUUGACUAGACCAUUCUAACCUUCUAACUUUGAACUCUGGUCAUUCUGUUUCCUCCAUGUUUCCUUCUUGGUUUCUUCUCAUCCAUAAAGCCCAGGUUAAUCUCCUGUUAGCCAGGGAUGUCCAAAGUGUGGCCCGGGGCCCAUAUGGGGACAUCCGGAUGAUUUUGUUUGGCCCUCCAGUCGAACUCAUCCCUUCAGCACAGGCAGGUCGAACCAAACUGAGGGUCAAACUGAAGGAAAGAAGCAGCAGCAGCAGCCAUGUCUUGGUUCUGGUUAAAUCUCCCCUCAGAUCCUGUUUCCUCCCGAGGAACCGAGUUCCUCAAAAGCUCCGAGUCCCACAGGAAGCAUCGCUGCCACGCCGGCCUGUCCGGAGCGGGAACGCCGCAGGAACGCUGCAGGAUGCCCCCUCUGAUGCCGCACAGCAGGAAAACUUCAGGCCAAACCUGGAAUCAUCUCAACUGAACAGCAGCAGAGAGGAGGAAGUGAAAACAAGAACUGCCUUCAUCUUAACUUUAUCAAAACUCAGUAAAAGUGUCAGACAGCUGCUGCCUUCUCGUGGUUCGGUGUGAAAGCGGCGCUGCUGCUGCAGGGAGCCAAACAGGAGCAGCUCAAAAUGUCUGACAGAGCUGGAAACACCCAGAUCCUUCAUCAGCAGCAGGCCGAACCAGCCCGAGACAGGCGGAGAGGCUCUUCCUGCUCGGCUGCAGCCGCCCGCAGGGGAGGAGGGGUGUGAUGGGAGGAGAGCUGCCUGCGCUCCCUCCAGCAGGGGAUGAUGGGAGGAGAGGAGGAGGGGUCUGUAUCUGGAGAUGGAGGGCUGUCAGGAAUGUGGGAGAGCAAGCAGACAUGCAGCGAGCGAGGAGUCGAGCCGCUCGCACUAAAUUUAACAAUGAGAGUCGGCAGAACGUUUAAAUUUAGUCUGCAGCUUCACCGAGUCGGAGCGGCUGCUGCUCACCCGGCACAAAACAUCUUCAUCCUGCGGCCGAGCGGCGGUCCGAACGGGUCAGGUUCUCCUCCACAAACCACCGAGGAGCCUCAGGGUCUUCCUGAACAAAGGAAACUUUUCUGAGCUUUAUGUUCAAGAGUUUUACAUCUUUCAUGACGUGGUGAAGAAAUGAAGCAAACUUCAUCUAGAUCAGGUCCAGAAAACACAAAACAGAAAUAAUCUGAAAUCCUGACAACUGAACUGAUGAUGAAUCUAAAAGCUCCAAACUGCAAGACGCUGAUUUCAAAGAAUCAGGAAGUUAUUGUCACGGUUUGAUGUUUUCUGUUUCAUCCUCUUUAUUUUACCCGUGAAAAGGUUUGCAGAUUAUAAAAACUGAACAAACAAAAGAGGAAAAUCUGAAGAAAAACCUUCAGAAAGGACGAAAUAAAAAAGAAAGAGAUGAAGAUAAAAUGUAAAUAAAUGGACUUUAUUUUCAUCCAGAAAACAAAUUCAGCCUCAGUUUGUUAGAAAACAUCAGAAUGAUUUAGAGAAAGAAAGAAAACAACCAACUAGAGAGAAAAUCUCCUGAAUUAGACAGUAUGCAGAUGAUACAGCGAUCUGCACUGAGAUUAGAGGAUGGAUGGAUGGAUGGAUGGAUGGAUGGAUGGAUGGAUGGAUGGAUGGACGGACGGACGGACGGAUGGAUGGAUGGAUUAGAGUCUAAAUUGAUGUGAUUUCUCUUUAAAUUUGUGUUUUAUGGUAAAAUAUUUCCCUUUUGGUUUUACUUCCUCAGUUAAAUUGAACUUCUUGAUUUGUCGUCCAGAGUUCAAACGCAGCAGAAACAUCCAGACGACACAAAUUCAGAUUAUUAUGAGUCAACAUUUAGACAACAGCAGUAAAUUAGUCCAUGUUAUUCAACAUUUAAUUCUUUUGAAAUGACUUUAUGUUAAUUUUUACAGAAGUUAGAUGAGUUUUAAAUGUAAAUAAGUCUUUAUUUUGCUGCUCAGAUCAGAAACAUGACGCAGAUGUGGAGCAGAACAAACGUUUUUCCUGCUGGACGUUGAAAUCCUGCAGUUUUUCCUCUGUGGAAACGAGCUGGACUCUGGAAACGGCAGCGCUGCCCUGAGGCCGGCUGACAGCGGCAUCCUCUCCAGACCAUGCCUCGCCAUGCCUCAGCCCCCAGGCUGCUGCCUGCCUUCCUGCCCCCCCCAGGCUCCCUGCCCCCCCAGGGCUGCAGCUCCUUAUCAGCGCUCCACUCGGUAGCUGCAGCCACUCUGAAGUGUGGCUGGGACGGUUUCUUAUCUCUAAACGCCUCCAUGGUGAAAUAAAGGCUUGUUCUUGG